rnacentral:rRNA from 1 species
UACGGAGGGUGCAAGCGUUAUCCGGAUUCACUGGGUUUAAAGGGUGCGUAGGUGGGCAGGUAAGUCAGUGGUGAAAUCUCCGAGCUUAACCCGGAAACUGCCAUUGAUACUAUCUGUCUUGAAUACCGUGGAGGUGAGCGGAAUAUGUCAUGUAGCGGUGAAAUGCUUAGAUAUGACAUAGAACACCAAUUGCGAAGGCAGCUCACUACACGAAUAUUGACACUGAGGCACGAAAGCGUGGGGAUCAAACAGG